rnacentral:lncRNA from 1 species
CUGAGAACUCACACAGACCCAUGAUCACACAGGACCGAGACACUAAUGAAUAGAAUGUACAUUUGUUCCUGCUGUGUGAUUGUCCAUCUGUCUGUGCCUGGACAACCACUCCAUCCCCACUGGAUGCAGUAAACAGCACCACUGCCCACUGGCAUUGUGAACCUGGUGUCCAUCACUGAGCUCUGCUGGGGAUAGUCUAUGUGGCAGCUGCUGUAGCUCUUGCUCAGAGUGCUGGAUCCCAGAGUAUUGCAGAAGCCCAAGUGGCCAGACCUAGAGCAAGAGCCCAAAAUCAGAACCCUGCAAGCUGGAGACCAGCAGGCAUUACCAUCUGGGGCUCCCGUAGGAGCUGGCGGUGCCAGGCCACGCUGUCCACUCGACUCUGCUGCUUGUUCCAGUGCAUGAGGAGGUGACCUUAACUUCCAGACAAUGUGGCCAGAUGAGGGAACACAGACUGCAUGGAGGACCUUGGAAGAGUUUGCGGGGCACAGCCCUGCUGGCACAAAGCCUGACACAGAAGGACACAGACACCCCUGCACGGUGAACAGUGACUGAUACUUGUCAUUUACAAGCCUCUUCUUCAGCUCAUCCCCAUGUUGAAAGCAAGAGCUGCUGAGGUAGGGUUACAUGCUGCCAAAAAUGAAAACUGAGGUUCAGAGAGUAUGUGAUUGCUUCAAUGGGCCCAGAGUAGUGAUGAGUUAUCCCCAGUGCUGAUGUGACAAAAUCUUGCCAUUCUACUCAUAGUGUUGCUUCUUCCAGGGCAGUGGAUGUAGGAGUCUCUUCUGGGAGCUGAACCUUUGCAGGAGGCUGGACUAGCAGGGAGAGAUGCAGAGAACUGUGGGCACAGGACAGGGUCCACCGAUUGCGAAAGCAAGAAUGGAAUGAGAAGUAUGAGCAAUGGAUCGAUAUACUAGUCGAACUGAAAUAAGAUAUUGUCAGAACUAUUUGUCCAAGGAAAAUCAGAUGUUCACAACAGAAGUUACAUUCUGAGCUAGAUUUAUCAGAGCCUCCAGCCAGGAUCACUGCACCAGGCCUAGAGAGCAGAGGGAAGAUUUGUGUCUCACUUUCCCAUGGGCCUGGAGCCCUGUGUAAGCCUCAGAGCCACUGUGAAAUCCACUGCCCCUGUGCAGACCCCGAGACAGACCCAUUCUCAGGCUGCAGCACAGCAACGUGCAAAAUCCUUGCACAGGCCGACGCAUCUUUAGAUCCCAAGAUGUGGCUGGGAGCCUCAGAGCCCUGUUUCUUACUUGAGUCCAAGUAGAAGUUCACGAGAUAUUAGAUAGGGUUCCCUGGAUUCUGCCAGAACCAGUCACCGAUUUCUUCUGAUGGAAUCACUGAUUCAUUGUGGUGAUUAUCCAAGGGUGUAUAAAUAUCUUAAAACACACAAAAUUGGGCACUUUAAAUAUCAGGGGUUUAUUUUGUUAAUUAUUCCUCAAUAAAAAGACACAUAAAAAAUAGGCUGAAA